CGGACGGGUGAGUAAUGCAUCGGACGUAUCUGGAGUGGGGGAUAACGUAGCGAAAGUUACGCUAAUACCGCAUAUUCUGUGAGCAGGAAAGCAGGGGCUCGCAAGACCUUGCGCUCUGGGGGCGGCCGAUGUCGGAUUAGCUGGUUGGUGGGGUAAAGGCCUACCAAGGCGACGAUCCGUACGGGUCUGAGAGGAUGAUCCGCACACUGGGACUGAACACGGUCCAACUCCUACGGGAGGCAGCAGUGGGGAAUAUUGCACAAUGGGCGCAAGCCUGAUGCAGCCAUGCCGCGUGUAUGAAGAAGGCCUUCGGGUUGUAAAGUACUUUCAGCGGGGAGGAAGGUGUGGGUUAAUAACAAGAAUUUGACGUUACCCCCGGAGAAGAAGCACCCGGGUAACUCCGUGGGCAAGACAGCCCGNGGGUAAAUACGGGAAGGGUGCACAAGCCGUUAAUCGGAAAAUACUGGGGCGUAAAGGCGGCAACGCAAGGCAGGCCCCGCCAAGUCAGGACAUGGUGCAAAAAUUCCCCCCCCAGGGGGGGGCCAACNCAAAACCCAUAGGGGGGGGAAAACCCUGAGGGGCACGUAUUUCCAGAAAAAA
rnacentral:rRNA from 1 species